UACAGAGGGUGCAAGCGUUAAUCGGAAUUACUGGGCGUAAAGAGCUCGUAGGCGGUCUGUCGCGUCUGCUGUGAAAACUCGGGGCUUAACCCCGGGCCUGCAGUGGGUACGGGCAGACUAGAGUGCGGUAGGGGAGACUGGAAUUCCUGGUGUAGCGGUGAAAUGCGCAGAUAUCAGGAGGAACACCGGUGGCGAAGGCGGCAUCCUGGACCGGCAUUGACGCUGAGGCGCGAAAGCCAGGGGAGCAAACGGG
rnacentral:rRNA from 1 species